rnacentral:rRNA from 1 species
GGUUAAGCGACUAAGCGUACACGGUGGAUGCCCUGGCAGUCAGAGGCGAUGAAGGACGUGCUAAUCUGCGAUAAGCGCCGGUAAGGUGAUAUGAACCGUUAUAACCGGCGAUUUCCGAAUGGGGAAACCCAGUGUGAYUCGUCACACUAUCAUUAACUGAAUCCAUAGGUUAAUGAGGCGAACCGGGGGAACUGAAACAUCUAAGUACCCCGAGGAAAAGAAAUCAACCGAGAUUCCCCCAGUAGCGGCGAGCGAACGGGGAGGAGCCCAGAGCCUGAAUCAGCAUGUGUGUUAGUGGAAGCGUCUGGAAAGGCGCGCGAUACAGGGUGACAGCCCCGUACACAAAAGCGCAUGUGCUGUGAGCUCGAUGAGUAGGGCGGGACACGU